GACGAACGCUGGCGGCGUGCUUAACACAUGCAAGUCGAACGGAAAGGCCCUGCUUUUGUGGGGUGCUCGAGUGGCGAACGGGUGAGUAACACGUGAGUAACCUGCCCUUGACUUUGGGAUAACUUCAGGAAACUGGGGCUAAUACCGGAUAGGAGCUCCUGCUGCAUGGUGGGCGUUGGAAAGUUUCGGCGGUUGGGGAUGGACGCGCGGCUUAUCAGCUUGUUGGUGGGGUAGUGGCUUACCAAGGCAUUGACGGGUAGCCGGCCUGAGAGGGUGGCCGGCCACAUGGGGACUGAGGGACGGCCCAGAGUCCAACGGGAGGCAGCAGUGGGGAAUAUGGCACAAUGGGCGGAAGCCUGAUACAGAAGCGCCGCGUGCGGGAUGACGGCCUUCUGGGUGUAAACCGCUUUCGCCUGUGACGAAGCGUGAGUGACGGUAAUGGGUAAAGAAGCACCGGCUAACUACGUG
rnacentral:rRNA from 1 species